GUGCUCAUUUUGGCAGCACAUAAAAUUGGAACAAUACAGAGAAAAUUAGCAUGGCCCCUGUGCAAGGAUGACAUGCAAAUUUGUGAAGUGUUUCAUAUUUUU
rnacentral:snRNA from 1 species